rnacentral:rRNA from 1 species
GAUGAACGCUGGCGGCGUGCUUAACACAUGCAAGUCGAACGGUGAAGGCGGAGCUUGCUCUGCUGGAUCAGUGGCGAACGGGUGAGUAACACGUGAGCAAUCUGCCCCUGACUCUGGGAUAAGCGCUGGAAACGGCGUCUAAUACUGGAUACGAGCUGCGAAGGCAUCUUCAGCAGCUGGAAAGAAUUUCGGUCAGGGAUGAGCUCGCGGCCUAUCAGCUUGUUGGUGAGGUAAUGGCUCACCAAGGCGUCAACGGGUAGCCGGCCUGAGAGGGUGACCGGCCACACUGGGACUGAGACACGGCCCAGACUCCUACGGGAGGCAGCAGUGGGGAAUAUUGCACAAUGGGCGAAAGCCUGAUGCAGCAACGCCGCGUGAGGGACGACGGCCUUCGGGUUGUAAACCUCUUUUAGCAGGGAAGAAGCGAAAGUGACGGUACCUGCAGAAAAAGCGCCGGCUAACUACGUG